UACAGAGGGGGCAAGCGUUGUUCGGAAUUACUGGGCGUAAAGGGCGCGUAGGCGGCCUUCUAAGUCGAACGUGAAAUCCCCGGGCUCAACCCGGGAACUGCGUCCGAGACUGGAAGGCUCGAAUCCGGGAGAGGGAUGUGGAAUUCCAGGUGUAGCGGUGAAAUGCGUAGAUAUCUGGAGGAACACCGGUGGCGAAGGCGGCGAUCCUGGGACCGGUAUUGACGCUGAGGCGCGAAAGCUAGGGGGAGCAAACGGG
rnacentral:rRNA from 1 species